GAUCCAUCGGUAGCUUGCUAUCAAUGGUGAGAGUGGCGCACGGGUGCGUAACGCGUGAGCAACCUGCCUCCAUCAGGGGGAUAGCCUCUCGAAAGAGAGAUUAACACCGCAUAACAUAUUUUACCGGCAUCGGACGAAUAUUAAAUAUUUAUAGGAUGGAGAUGGGCUCGCGUGACAUUAGCUUGUUGGUGGGGUAACGGCCCACCAAGGCGACGAUGUCUAGGGGCUCUGAGAGGAGAAUCCCCCACACUGGUACUGAGACACGGACCAGACUCCUACGGGAGGCAGCAGUAAGGAAUAUUGGUCAAUGGGCGGAAGCCUGAACCAGCCAUGCCGCGUGCAGGAUGACUGCCCUAUGGGUUGUAAACUGCUUUUGUCCGGGAAUAAACCUCCUUACGAGUAGGGAGCUGAAUGUACCGGAAGAAUAAGGAUCGGCUAACUCCGUGCCAGCAGCCGCGGUAAUACGGAGGAUCCGAGCGUUAUCCGGAUUUAUUGGGUUUAAAGGGUGCGUAGGCGGCCUGUUAAGUCAGGGGUGAAAUACGGUGGCUCAACCAUCGCAGUGCCUUUGAUACUGACGGGCUUGAAUCCAUAUGAAGUGGGCGGAAUAAGACAAGUAGCGGUGAAAUGCAUAGAUAUGUCUUAGAACUCCGAUUGCGAAGGCAGCUCACUAAGCUGGUAUUGACGCUGAUGCACGAAAGCGUGGGGAUCGAACAGGAUUAGAUACCCUGGUAGUCCACGCCCUAAACGAUGAUAACUCGAUGUUGGCGAUAGACAGCCAGCGUCCCAGCGA
rnacentral:rRNA from 1 species